GACGAACCGUCCAAACGUUAUUCGGAAUUACUGGGCGUAAAGCGUGCGCAGGCGGCUAUGCAAGACAGAUGUGAAAUCCCCGGGCUCAACCUGGGAACUGCAUUUGUGACUGCAUGGCUAGAGUACGGCAGAGGGGGAUGGAAUUCCGCGUGUAGCAGUGAAAUGCGUAGAUAUGUGGAGGAACACCGAUGGCGAAGGCAGCCCCCUGGGUCAAGACUGACGCUCAUGCACGAAAGCGUGGGGAGCAAACAGG
rnacentral:rRNA from 1 species